rnacentral:rRNA from 1 species
AAUCCAUAGGUUAAUGAGGCGAACCGGGGGAACUGAAACAUCUAAGUACCCCGAGGAAAAGAAAUCAACCGAGAUUCCCCCAGUAGCGGCGAGCGAACGGGGAGGAGCCCAGAGCCUGAAUCAGCAUGUGUGUUAGUGGAAGCGUCUGGAAAGGCGCGCGAUACAGGGUGACAGCCCCGUACACAAAAGCGCAUGUGCUGUGAGCUCGAUGAGUAGGGCGGGACACGUGGUAUCCUGUCUGAAUAUGGGGGGACCAUCCUCCAAGGCUAAAUACUCCUGACUGACCGAUAGUGAACCAGUACCGUGAGGGAAAGGCGAAAAGAACCCCGGCGAGGGGAGUGAAAAAGAACCUGAAACCGUGUACGUACAAGCAGUGGGAGCCCCACCACCAAAGCAUUCUCUGGUGUUGAAGGCCCUGCAAAGCAGCAUCGCGGUGGCGGAGCGUCGUUUGCGACGCCCAACACACAAAACA